UUCGGAAUCAGCGCAUCGAGGAGGCUCUGGAUACCGAUUUUCAGCCAAAUUGAAAGACCCCGAAAUAUGCUGCUGUGAGGCUGAUAUUCGUUGCUGCUGAUUUGACAGACGUCGCCAAAACCUUGCAUUUGUAUCAAAUGCGUCAUGCUGGCUUACAUGUGACUUAGUUUGCAUCGUUUGCAUUCUGUUCGCGAACCUGUCAGUAAGAUUAUCAGCACUAAUUAUCGCACAGGAUUGGUUUUUACUUUUUAUGGUCUUCUUCUUCUUCGUGGAUUAGGGCGCGUAGCCGUCAGGACUUUUUAUGGUCGUCAACGUUGAUUUCAAGUGUCGUCAUUUUAGCCAAAUAUUCGUGCUGAUUGGUGGUAUUGUGCCAACUGACAAAAUUGCGAACAGAGUGAUAUUUCACUUAAGAAAUGUAUUUGAUAUUAUGAUUAUGGCGAUUGAAUGCUACAUAGGGUGGAGGCUUAGGUUAUGUUAAUUUAUUUCUGAAGCUUGCUGUUUUGUGUCAAAUUUUUCAUCUAUGCUUAUCUCUUUGAUAAGCACAGCCCACAGAGCGGACACAGAGCUGAUGUCUCCAGUUCACUAUCGGUGCACGAUCGGCGGCGGCGAUCGCGUGGUUCGCGCGCGGCGGCCCGGUGAGCCGCCGUCGAACGGCCGUCAUCUGCAUGGUCCGUGCACGAGCGACGCAGCACGCCGACCCCCGGAGCGCACCAAAUGAAGAUCGAGCCCGCGUGAUCAACGCUGACGGCUGCAAUCUAUUGCCAUGACAACUGAGCAGAAAUACAGCGUCGCCAAUGAAGACGUCCCCGCGUACCCGAUCGGUGCCGCGACGCUGCGGAGGCGGUGUGGGCGAGGGCCGGCCGGUGCGACACAAUCCCGCUCCGAUCCUGACGGACUGCACUGAAACGCUCGUUAGCCGCGCGGCUAAACCCGCAGCCGGCACAAAUCGCCGUAAAGCUGCCAGAGGCGCCGCGGAAAUAAUGACACGCGCCGAGUUAUGCGCCGGAGCAGCGCCGCCAAGAGCUCGACCACGAGGGCUUUUGUCGGCAUAAAUAUCGAAAGUUCGCCUGCACGGCCGUGGGGCUGGGGAGUUAUCGGUCGGCGGGCGCGAGGGAGGGAGACUCUCCGGCGGUAGUGGGGGUAAAGGAUCAGGUGGCGCCGGCUGGGUCAGGUGGAGGAAGCGGCAGUGGGAGACCAGGUGGAAAAUAGAUAACAACAUUCUGGGGAGGAUCUCAUGGGACUGUGUUACACUUCAGUCAGUCCAUCUAUUGCCUCCAUCCGCCAAACUUCUCACUGUCCGUGGCUGAGACUGCCGUACAUAUGCGACACGAUCCCACAGGUGCCACACGGGACGUCUGCCGUGCAGGUGACUGCACUCGCCAGUGCUCCAACCACGGAAACCCACUAUCAAGUCACGGUUACUAUUUCCACGGUCGAACGAGUUUCCCUUCAGCCGCGAGUUGAAACUCUCGAGCACUUGCCAAACCUCAUGGGUAAUCCAUAAACAUUUGGUCGAUGGAUGGACGAUGAAAGGAAAAACCACUUUCACGUGUGUGCAAACCACAAAAGGAAUGCAUGAAUGCAUAAAAUCUAUCAAUAAAAUGAUAGCGAUAAA